rnacentral:rRNA from 1 species
UGGUGGAUUGAUUUGUCUGGUUUAUUCCGUUAACGAACGAGAUUUCUACAAGAUAUCUGGAGGCCCAAGUUCUUCUUAGGCAAUCUGUUUCUGGACAGCAUGUGGCAAACACGAGGAAGUAGGAGGCAAUAACA